CAUCACGUAGUGACUGAGCUCCUCCUUCCGGCGUCAACUACUGAUGGCCAAAGUGCCAAGCGCCCUCUGCUGAAAGCAGGACGAGCCAGAGGCGAGGGCCACUGCCACAAACAGGAGGACAGACGAUCCUACAUCCAGAUGGAAUCCCCACAGAAUCAGUAACUUCUCAUUUAGAGUUCCGCUUCAUCCACGCCGUGGAAAAGGCAGGAGGGCAGGAAGGUCAGCUCGAUUAUUCUUCCCCGCUCUCUCGGAAAACAAAAUGGCGUUCAGCUGACAUGAAAGGUUGGAGAAAGAUUUCAGGAGUUAAGGCUUCUUUGACAUUAAAGUGGGGAUGGAGGAAUGUUUCGAGCCGAACUAAAAGCCCAUUAACGUUCAGCUCCCCUCCAGCUAUGUUAGAUCAACCAUAAUAAGUUGCGAGUUUAUGGACCUUUUGCUCCCCAAAUGUCUACCAUGUU